rnacentral:tRNA from 1 species
CUCGCGAUAGCUCAGUUGGUAGAGCGGAGGACUGUAGUGUGUAAUUUAGUAUAACUGUAAUCCUUAGGUCGGUGGUUCGAAUCCGUCUCGCGAGA